AUUGAACGCUGGCGGCAGGCCUAACACAUGCAAGUCGAGCGGAUGAAGGGAGCUUGCUCCUGGAUUCAGCGGCGGACGGGUGAGUAAUGCCUAGGAAUCUGCCUGGUAGUGGGGGAUAACGUCCGGAAACGGGCGCUAAUACCGCAUACGUCCUGAGGGAGAAAGUGGGGGAUCUUCGGACCUCACGCUAUCAGAUGAGCCUAGGUCGGAUUAGCUAGUUGGUGGGGUAAAGGCCUACCAAGGCGACGAUCCGUAACUGGUCUGAGAGGAUGAUCAGUCACCCUGGAACUGAGACACGGUCCAGACUCCUACGGGAGGCAGCAGUGGGGAAUAUUGGACAAUGGGCGAAAGCCUGAUCCAGCCAUGCCGCGUGUGUGAAGAAGGUCUUCGGAUUGUAAAGCACUUUAAGUUGGGAGGAAGGGCAGUAAGUUAUACCUUGCUGUUUUGACGUUACCAACAGAAUAAGCACCGGCUAACUUCGUG
rnacentral:rRNA from 1 species